rnacentral:rRNA from 1 species
GACGAACGCUGGCGGCGUGCUUAACACAUGCAAGUCGAACGGUAAGGCCCUUUCGGGGGUACACGAGCGGCGAACGGGUGAGUAACACGUGGGUGACCUGCCCUUAGCUCUGGGAUAAGCCUGGGAAACUGGGUCUAAUACCGGAUAUGACUCCAUGACGCAUGUUGUGGGGUGGAAAGCCUUGUGCGGCUAGGGAUGGGCCCGCGGCCUAUCAGCUUGUUGGUGGGGUGAUGGCCUACCAAGGCGACGACGGGUAGCCGGCCUGAGAGGGCGACCGGCCACACUGGGACUGAGACACGGCCCAGACUCCUACGGGAGGGCAGCAGUGGGGAAUCUUGCGCAAUGGGCGAAAGCCUGACGCAGCGACGCCGCGUGGGGAUGACGGCCU